UACGUAGGUGACAAGCGUUGUCCGGAUUUACUGGGCGUAAAGAGCGCGCAGGCGGUCGUUCAAGUCGAGUGUGAAAGCCCCCGGCUCAACUGGGGAGGGUCAUUCGAUACUGAUCGACUCGAAGGCAGGAGAGGGUAGUGGAAUUCCCGGUGUAGUGGUGAAAUGCGUAGAUAUCGGGAGGAACACCAGUGGCGAAGGCGACUACCUGGCCUGUUCUUGACGCUGAGGCGCGAAAGCUAGGGGAGCGAAUGGG
rnacentral:rRNA from 1 species